rnacentral:rRNA from 1 species
AUACGGAGGAUCCGAGCGUUAUCCGGAUUUAUUGGGUUUAAAGGGUGCGCAGGCGGGAGAUUAAGUCGGCGGUGAAAUUUUUCAGCUCAACUGUAAAAGUGCCUUCGAUACUGGUUUCCUUGAGUGUGGGUGAAGUAGGCGGAGGUUGUGGUGUAGCGGGGAAAUGCUUAGAUAUCACGAGGAACUCCGAUUGCGCAGGCAGCUUACUAAACCACUACUGACGCUCAGGCACGAAGGCGUGGGGAUCAAACAGGAUUAGAUACCCUGGUAGUCCACGCAGUAAACGAUGAUUACUGGCUGUUUGCGAUACAAUGUAAGCGGCUGAGCGAAAGCGUUAAGUAAUCCACCUGGGGAGUACGUUCGCAAGAAUGAAACUCAAAUGAAUUGACGGGG